rnacentral:rRNA from 1 species
AACGAACGCUGGCAGCGUGGAUUAGGCAUGCAAGUCGAACGAGAACCCCGCGUGUAGCAAUACAAGUGGGGGAGAGUGGCGUAAGGGUGCGUAGCGCAUGGGUAAUCUACCCUUAAGAUGAGGAUAACCUUGUGAAAACGAGGCUAAUACUGAAUGUGAUCGCAUCCGGCAUCGGGUGCUGUUCGAAGAUGGGGACCGCAAGGCCUGUCACUUAAGGAUGAGCCCGUGUCCUAUCAGCUAGUUGGUGAGGUAACGGCCCACCAAGGCUAUGACGGGUAGCUGGUCUGAGAGGAUGGUCAGCCACACUGGGACUGAGACACUGCCCAGACUCCUACGGGAGCAG